rnacentral:rRNA from 1 species
GACGAACGCUGGCGGCGUGGAUUAGGCAUGCAAGUCGAACGGUAUCAUCCUUUCGGGGGUGAGAGAGUGGCGAACUGGUGAGUAACACGUAGGUUAUCUACCCUCAAGACGGGGACAACCCAGGGAAACUUGGGCUAAUACCGGAUGUGAGCAACUUUUAGUUGUUUGAAAGGUGGCGUAAGCUGUCGCUUGGGGAUGAGCCUGCGUCCUAUUAGUUAGUUGGUGAGGUAACGGCUCACCUAGGCAAUGAUAGGUAGGCGGCCUUAACGGGUGGUCGCCCACACUGGGAUUGAGACUACGGGCCCAGACUCCUACGGGAGGCAGCAGUCGAGAAUAGUCUACAAUGGUCGGAAGACUGAUAGUGCGACGCCGCGUGAACGAUGAAUCCCUUCGGGGUGUAAAGUUCUUUUAUAUGUGAGCAGUGCUUCUUAUAUUAACAGUAUGGGGAGAGAGAUAUUAGCAUAUGAAUAAGCAACGGCUAACUCCGUGCCCAGCAGCCGCGGU